AUGACAAAAUUACACCAUUUUUGCCAUGGCAAAAUUUACUUCAUUUUUUUGCCACAGCGUACUUUUAAUGACAUGGCAAAUUUUAGUUUUUUUUCAUGGCAAAUUUAUUGUAAAGAGCAUGGCAAUUUUAAUUUAAAUAUGAUGGCAAAUUUACAUUUUCCGGAACAUGACAAAUUUUUACUAUGUAGCAUGGUAAAUGUAUUUGUAUUCCCAUGGCAAUUUUUAAUUUAUUUUCCAUGGCAAAAUUUAAUCCAUUUUUUGCCAUGGAAAAAUUUACUCCAUUUUUGCCAUGGCAAAAAUACUUCUAUUCACAUGGCAAAUUUUAGUUUAACUUGCCAUGUGAAAAUUUCCUGCUUUUUUACAUUUGUAUAUUGA
rnacentral:rRNA from 1 species